rnacentral:lncRNA from 1 species
CUAACUAGCUAGUGCUUCUUCUCUUAUACUGCUUAAAUGCGCAUAAUUAGCAGUAGUUGAUGUGCCCCUAUGUUAGAGUAGAAUCCCGCUUCCUUGCUCCAUUUGCAUUACUGCAGGAGCUUCUAACUAGCCUGAAUUCACUCUCUUGGACUGUUAAUGUGCAUACUUAUAUUUGCUGCUGUACUUUUUUACCAUGUAAGGACCCCACCCACUGUAUUUACAUCCCAGCUGGAAGUACCUACUACUUAAGACCCUUAGACUAGUAAAGUUAGCGUGCAUAAUCUUAGGUGUUAUAUACACAUUUUCAGUUGCAUACAGUUGUGCCUUUUAUCAGGACUCCUGUACUUAUCAAAGCAGAGAGUGCUAAUCAAUAUUAAGCCCUUCUCUUCGAACUGUAGAUGGCAUGUAAUUGCAGUUGUCAAUGGUCCUUCAAUUAGACUUGGGUUUCUGACCUAUCACACCCUCUUUGCUUUAUUGCAUGGGGUACUAUUCACUUAAGGCCCCUUUCUCAAACUGUUAAUGUGCCUAAUGACAAUUACAUCAGUAUCCUUCCUUUUGAAGGACAGCAUGGUUGGUGACACCUAAGGCCCCAUUUCUUGGCCUCCCAAUAUGUGUGAUUGUAUUUGUCGAGGUUGCUAUGCACUAGAGAAGGAAAGUGCUCCCCUCAUCCCCACUUUUCCCUUCCAGCAGGAAGUGCCCACCCCAUAAGACCCUUUUAUUUGGAGAGUCUAGGUGCACAGUUGUAAGUGACCACAGGCAUACACCUUGGACAUUAAUGUGCAUAACCACUUUGCCCAUUCCAUCUGAAUAAGGUCCUACUCUCAGACCCCUUUUGCAGUACAGUAGGUGUGCUGAUAACCAAGGCCCCUCUUCCUGGCCUGUUAACGUAUGUGAUUAUAUUUGUCUGGGUUCCAGUGUAUAAGACAUGGAAGCCUCCCCUGCCCCACCCCACCCUCAAUCUUCCUUUCCCUUCUGGCAGGGAGUGCCAGCUCCAUAAGAACCUUACAUUUGGACAGUCAAGGUGCACAAUUCUAAGUGACCGCAGCCAUGCACCUUGGUCAAUAAUGUGUGUAACUGCACACGGCCUAUCUCAUCUGAAUAAGGCCUUACUCUCAGACCCCUUUUGCAGUACAG